rnacentral:rRNA from 1 species
GACGAACCGUGCGAACGUUAUUCGGAAUCACUGGGCUUAAAGCGCGUGUAGGCGGGACGGCACGUCUGUCGCUGAAAUCCCCCGGCUUAACCGGGGAACUGGCGUAGAUACGACCGUCCUUGAGGGGCGUAGGGGGACCUGGAACUUCCGGUGGAGCGGUGAAAUGCGUUGAGAUCGGAAGGAACGCCCGUGGCGAAGGCGGCCAUCUGGGACAACACUGACGCUGAAGCACGAAAGCGUGGGGAGCAAACAGG